rnacentral:rRNA from 1 species
UACGUAGGGUGCGAGCGUUGUCCGGAAUUAUUGGGCGUAAAGAGCUUGUAGGCGGUUUGUCGCGUCUGCUGUGAAAAUCCGGGGCUCAACCCCGGACUUGCAGUGGGUACGGGCAGACUAGAGUGUGGUAGGGGAGACUGGAAUUCCUGGUGUAGCGGUGGAAUGCGCAGAUAUCAGGAAGAACACCGGUGGCGAAGGCGGCUCUCUGGGCCUUACCUGACGCUGAGGUGCGAAAGCGUGGGGAGCAAACAGG